rnacentral:tRNA from 1 species
GGGGAUUUAGCUCAGUGGUAGAGCGCUUGCCUGCUUAGCAAGCGCAAGGCCCUGGGUUCGGUCCCCAGCUUCCA